GUGAGUCGGGGAGAUGGCUUCGCCGAUUUCGGUGAGGAAGCUCCGUACACCCACCCGUAAGGGACCACACCACCGCAAGGUGGAGGCUGAGAAGCCUUGGUCCGGUAAAGAAACCAACUGCAGUCCUCUAAACAAUGAAAUCGGGAAAAUCCCCGGUAACGGGGAUCUGUACGAAGAGUUUUGAGGAGGAUUGCAGGUGAGAGAGACCGGCCAUGUGGGGGUGCAAGCAAGGCCUUUAUGGCCGCGGCGCUUAGACAAAUGCCAUCAACCCAUUCACAUGUGGUCUUUGGUUGCACAAACCAAAGACUGCUGUGUGGGUGACAAAAAACGGGCUAUCCCCGAGACAC
rnacentral:RNase_P_RNA from 1 species